rnacentral:rRNA from 1 species
AGAGUUUGAUCCUGGCUCAGGAUGAACGCUAGCUACAGGCUUAACACAUGCAAGUCGAGGGGAAACGACAUCGAAAGCUUGCUUUUGAUGGGCGUCGACCGGCGCACGGGUGAGUAACGCGUAUCCAACCUCGCCCACCACGUUGGGGAUUAACCUUGACGAAAGUAAGACUAAUACCCAAUGAUAUCUCUAGAAAACAUCUGAAAGAGAUUAAAGAUUUAUCGGUGAUGGAUGGGGAUGCGUCUGAUUAGCUUGUUGGCGGGGUAACGGCCCACCAAGGCAACGAUCAGUAGGGGUUCUGAGAGGAAGGUCCCCCACAUUGGAACUGAGACACGGUCCAAACUCCUACGGGAGGCAGCA